rnacentral:rRNA from 1 species
GGAUUCCCCCAGUAACGGCGAGUGAAGCGGGAAGAGCUCAAGCUUAAAAUCUCCAUACUUGUAUGGCGAAUUGUAGUCUAUUGAGGCUGUUGUCAGCAUCGCGAUUGGGGACAAGUCCCUUGGAAAAGGGCAGCAUGGAGGGUGAUACUCCCGUCUCUGCUCCAAUCUGCGGUGUGUACGAUACGCUUUCUUUGAGUCGAGUUGUUUGGGAAUACAGCUCAAAGUAGGUGGUAAAUUCCAUCUAAAGCUAAAUAUUGGUGCGAGACCGAUAGCGAACAAGUACCGUGAGGGAAAGAUGAAAAGAACUUUGAAAAGAGAGUUAAAGAGUACCUGAAACUGUUGAAAGGGAACCGUAUCGUUUCCAGUGUUGUAUCCUAUGCAUAUUUCAUUCGUGGAGUAAUUUACGGGUGCCCUGUGCAUGGGUGUGACGUCAGGGUCAGUUUGUAUGCUGCGGGAGAUGGUCAGUGAGGAGGUGCGUCACUUCGGUGAAAGUUAUAUCUCGCUGUCUAGUAGCCGUGGUUGAGACUGAGGUGCCUACAACAUGCCUUAAGGUUCUAUGUUGUCUCGUGUUGGUGACUGCUUUGAUAGCUUGCUAUGUCUGUGGUUUAUUAAUGCGAUUGAUGAUGUGGAUAACUUUUGCUGUUCGGGACUCUGGCGA